rnacentral:rRNA from 1 species
CAGCAGCCGCGGUAAUACGAAGGGUGCAAGCGUUACUCGGAAUUACUGGGCGUAAAGCGUGCGUAGGCGGCUUUUUAAGUCGGUUGUGAAAUCCCUGAGCUUAACUUAGGAAUUGCAUUGGAUACUGGGAAGCUAGAGUAUGGGAGAGGAUGGUAGAAUUCCAGGUGUAGCGGUGAAAUGCGUAGAGAUCUGGAGGAAUAUCGAUGGCGAAGGCGGCCAUCUGGCCUAACACUGACGCUGAGGUACGAAAGCGUGGGGAGCAAACAGGAUUAGAUACCCCGGUAGUCCCUGUCUCUUAUAC